rnacentral:rRNA from 1 species
GACGAACCGUGCGAACGUUGUUCGGAUUCACUGGGCAUAAAGGGCGCGUAGGCGGACGGUCAAGUCGGGGGUGAAAUCUUUCAGCUUAACUGGAAAAGUGCCUCCGAUACUGACUGUCUCGAGGGAGGUAGGGGCAUGUGGAACUUCCGGUGGAGCGGUGAAAUGCGUAGAUAUCGGAAGGAACGCCGGUGGCGAAAGCACUCUGCUGGGCCGACACUGACACUGAGAGACGAAAGCUAGGGGAGCGAAUGGG